GAUGAACGCUGGCGGCGUGCUUAACACAUGCAAGUCGAACGGAAAGGCCCCUGCUUGCAGGGGUACUCGAGUGGCGAACGGGUGAGUAACACGUGGGUGAUCUGCCCUUCACUUCGGGAUAAGCCUGGGAAACUGGGUCUAAUACCGGAUAGGACUAUGGUCUUGAUGCUAUUGUGGAAAUGUUUUCGGUGUGUGAUGGGCUCGCGGCCUAUCAGCUUGUUGGUGGGGUAGUGGACUACCAAGGCGUCGAGGGGAAGCCGGCCUGAGAGGGGGUACGGCCACAUUGGGACUGAGAUACGGCACAGACUCGUACGGGAGGCAGCGGUGGGGAAGAUUGCACAAUAGGCGGAAGCCUGAUGCAGUGACGCCGCGUGGGGGAUGACGGCCUUCGGGUUGGAAACUCCUGUCGUCUGGGACGAAGCGAUAGUGACGGUACCUGGAUAAGAAGCACCGGCUAACUACGUG
rnacentral:rRNA from 1 species